AGAAAGGAGGGGUUUUCUUGGUCAAAACAGGGCAACAAGAAGUCUGACUAGAAACUGUGUGUUGUUUUUGAUUCAAAUUUAGCUUGCAGUGAGAGAAGAUGUUUCAUACAUCUUCCACCAUCCUUUUUUCUUGACACUGACUCAAGUUAGAGUAAACAUUUGCAUACAGGUCCAGCAGAUUCACAGCAACAUGAGCAUUCAUUUAGAGUUGUUUUUCUGACCACCUGCCACUCUCAUCUGAGCUCUGAUUUGAUCUCCUCCAGCUCCUGAGAAACAUAUCUGGCUCUUCAGCUGCUAUAAAUGUAAAUGACAGCAAAUUGUGUUUGUAGUAAAGGAAGCAGUUCUGUCAUUUUAUUUUUGUGCCUUUAUUUUGAAGAGCACUGCUCUUCUUCUUCGUCUACUUCCUGUCGUUGCUGCCGCUAGACUGCCCGCUCCCGUUGUUUCUGUUGGAAUGUCAGUGCGACGUGUGUGUGAAGAUAGGCUGCUAGCAGGCUGAACACAAACUUAGCGCCCUUGGAAGCAGAAGGAGUUUUCACGGUGUCAGAAUGAGAGGAGAAGAAAAAGAGGAGAGAAGUAAAGUUGCACCAGUCGAAGCUCUCUGCAUUUGUUUGGUUAUUCCAAGUGGGCCGCUACAAUAAAUGCUCCACUGCGUUCACCAGCUAGUCUCUGCUGUUUGGUGCUGAGCACGUAGUGUACAGUGGGUUCCUAUCAUCCCAUAAUCUCAGUAAGAUCAAGAUCUCUUUUGCUAAGAAAGACCUGAAUACAACAGAGAGAAAGAAGAACAAACAACGAAACAUAACAAAAGCACAUCAUAUACAAUCAGACAUCAUUAGAUAGAUCAAAGAUCUCCAUUGAAAAUCAAGUUUUUCACCUUGUCGAUAAGACCACAAGGUGUUUUUAUAAGAUACAAAACAUAUCAUGAGUGAAAUUAGCAGUUAACCUCAUGGCUGGGUAUUUCCAACUUGGAACUGCACUGUACCAAUAACAGUCUCAAAAACAUGGAUUCAGACAGCCAGGGUUUCAUAAGUCACAUACCAAAGGACCAAAUCUCAUCAACUUGCAGGGUGAGGCGACAGAAACCUGUAAGCUCCAGUGCAAAGCAGAUUUAUCAGUACAGGACCGAGAGAGAGGAGCUGUGUCAGCCACUGCAAGCUAACAAACAUAAACAACUAAAAGAUGCUAACUACACUUAUCAUUCUGAUACGUCUGCUGGGCGCUGAUUUUUGUCCCUCAGCUGAGUCUGGGUCUGACUAAGGCUCAAACAUGUUUGGCUUAAUCUCAAAUUUUUGUGUAAAAAUUUUUAUAUGUAAAACAGUCAAAUAUAACUUUGAAACUUUGAAACAAUUCCAGAAAUAUAACUUCAGAAAAAUGUACCCCAUUUAAACCCCCUAUUUACUCUGUUUAUAAUCUACUUUCACCGCGUGUAUGGCAGUAUUGUGGUAUUUAACUAUAGAUGGUUAUUCUAUGGAUCAUUGUGAUGACUUCCAAGCAGGGUGGGUGAGCGUGGCUAUGAAAAUAGCUUGCUAGUUCAUGAGUUAUUUUGUUCAUUUAGUGUUUAAUUCACUGCAUAUACUUAUUUGCGACACAUCAAAUGCAGAGACUUGUAGUUGCUUGUU